CAGCAGCCGCGGUAAUACGGAGGGUGCAAGCGUUAUCCGGAUUUAUUGGGUUUAAAGGGUCCGUAGGCGGACUUAUAAGUCAGUGGUGAAAGCCUGUCGCUUAACGAUAGAACUGCCAUUGAUACUGUAAGUCUUGAGUAUAUUUGAGGUAGCUGGAAUAAGUAGUGUAGCGGUGAAAUGCAUAGAUAUUACUUAGAACACCAAUUGCGAAGGCAGGUUACCAAGAUAUAACUGACGCUGAGGGACGAAAGCGUGGGUAGCGAACAGGAUUAGAUACCCCGGUAGUCCCUGUCUCUUAUAC
rnacentral:rRNA from 1 species